UGUACGAGUCAUUUAUUUUACAAUAAUAAAACAUCUUUUGCGCGCGUGCGUGCGUGUGUGUGCGCGCGCGCGCGCGUGUGUGUGUGUGUGUGUGCGCGUGCGCAAGCGUGCGCGAAGUGGAGCAAAUCCGGUUCUCAUUCCCGAGUCUAGGCUACGUUGGAACUCAAGGCAACCCUCCUACCUCAUCCUCCCCUGUACUCCGGUGGCCGGUGUGAGUCACCACGCCCUAUUUUCUGGAAUCUCUGCUCCAGAAUCCAGACCUAGGACUUUGGGCCGGGAAGAAGGGAUCGGGUGGCCUGGGAGGGCCUCUCGAGAUGGAAGCCAGACAUGGUGGCACAUGCCUUUAAUCCCAGCAUUUGGGAGGCAGAGUCCAGAGGAUCUCUGAGCUCAAGGCCAGCCUGGUCUACAGAGUGAGUUCCUGUGACAAGGAAAGAAACUGUGGUGUCCUGAGUCCUGACUGUCAUCUUUGAAGGCAGAAGGCAGAUGAUCAAGAAUUCAAAGUCAACCUUAGCUAUACAGCAAGUCUGCGCCCAGCCUGGGCUACAUGAGACCCUAUCUCAGAAACCACAGUAGUAAAUUUUAAAA